rnacentral:rRNA from 1 species
UACGGAGGGGGCUAGCGUUGUUCGGAAUUACUGGGCGUAAAGCGCACGUAGGCGGCUUUGUAAGUUAGAGGUGAAAGCCCGGGGCUCAACUCCGGAAUUGCCUUUAAGACUGCAUCGCUAGAAUUGUGGAAAGGUAAGUGGAAUUCCGAGUGUAGAGGUGAAAUUCGUAGAUAUUCGGAAGAACACCAGUGGCGAAGGCGACUUACUGGACACAUAUUGACGCUGAGGUGCGAAAGCGUGGGGGAGCAAACAGG